rnacentral:rRNA from 1 species
AUGAGGCGCUAUUUUUUGGAGAAUCCCACAUACCCUGAGUCGUACUUUCGUCGCCGGUUUAGGAUGAGCACCGAGUUGUUCAGGCGCAUUGCAGAGAAACUAGCGAGCCCUGACCGGUAUUUUUAGUAGAGGAGGAAUGCCGCCGGAGAGCUCGGGCAUAGCACCUUUCAGAAGGUGACAGCCCUUUUGCGUAUGUUGGCAUACGGUUUUCCGGCAAUCUAG